CUUAGGCUAGGUUCGCUCGCCGCCGCGCUUCGUGUUUUCGGGAAAGGAACAUGUCCUCUUUUGCCCAGAAGGGGAAGAUACUUGAGCAGAAGGAAGAGACAGAGACUCCAGCUGGGUCCCCUGUGGCGUUUCUCCUAACGUCCGGCUAAGAUUGGGCGGAACCUUACACUUCUGAGCACACUUGGGCUGUCUUAUAUGCUGUGUUUUCUACUGCAAUCCACUGAUUUUUGCUUUUUAAAAUAUCUGAACAGGUGCAUUUACCGCACCCUGGAAGUUUUUUUCUCACCGGAAGGAGCACUGCAAAGAUAUGAAAACUGAACUGAGAUUAGGAAACAGCUACUAAACACCGGGGUCCUUGGAAGCCAUAUACUGCAUUGGACUAGGAACCUAGUACACCAAAUUAAAAGUCUGGAAACCUGAAUUCCAGUCCGUUCACAAUUUGAAGACAGGUAAUAUUCCACAAAUAACAUUUGUUGAACACAGUAAAUCAAGACUGCUUUUUUUUAAUCUGAAAAAUGAGGGUGACAUACCAGCUUUGCUAAUUUUGAGAAUUUUUGAACAUUAAAGAAGGUGAUGUACAAUGUCAAAAUACUUCAAAAGCUGAAAAGCAUUGAAUCUAUUAAUAUUAAGCGCUUUAGUUUUGGAAACUGAAUUCAGCCUA
rnacentral:lncRNA from 1 species